rnacentral:rRNA from 1 species
UACGUAGGGGCCUAGCGUUGUCCGGAUUUAUUGGGCGUAAAGAGCUCGUAGGCGGUUCGGCAAGUCGGAUGUGAAAUCUCCACGCUCAACGUGGAGGGGCCAUUCGAAACUGCCGUGACUCGAGUCCGGUAGGGGAGUGUGGAAUUCCCGGUGUAGCGGUGAAAUGCGUAGAUAUCGGGAAGAACACCCGUGGCGAAGGCGGCUCUCUGGGACGGUACUGACGCUGAGACGCGAAAGCGUGGGGAGCGAACAGG